UAACUCAGUCAGACGCCUGUA
rnacentral:miRNA from 1 species